GGUUGAUCCUGCCAGCAAUCAUAUGCUCGUCUCAAAGAUUAAGCCAUGCAUGUGUAAGUAUAAGCAAUUGUACUGCGAAACUGCGGAUGGCUCAUUAUAUCAGUAAUAAUCUACUCGGUGAAUCAUUUUAGUUGGAUAACUGUAGGAAUUCUAGAGCUAAUACAUGCAAGACGUUCGGACCGGGGGCAACCUUGGGAAGAAUACGUUUACAAGUACAGAAAUCAAUGGGACUUGUCCCUAAAACUGAUGAUUCAUUGUAAGUUCGUAGACCGAGAGCUUAAGUUCUCGGCGA
rnacentral:rRNA from 1 species